rnacentral:tRNA from 1 species
CCCUGCCUGGCUCAAUUGGUAGAGCAUGUGACUCUUGAUCUCAGGGUCAUGAAUUCAAGCCCCAUGUUGGGCA